UACAGAGGGUGCAAGCGUUGUUCGGAAUUACUGGGCGUAAAGCGUGCGUAGGCGGCCUAUUAAGUCAGAUGUGAAAUCCCUUGGCUCAACUGAGGAACUGCAUCUGAUACUGGUAGGCUUGAGUGUCGGAGGGGAUGGUAGAAUUCCUGGUGUAGAGGUGAAAUUCGUAGAUAUCAGGAGGAAUACCUGUGGCGAAGGCGACCAUCUGGAAGACAACUGACGCUGAGACUCGAAAGCGUGGGUAGCAAACAGG
rnacentral:rRNA from 1 species